UCGGACUAUUGUCGCAAUAUUUUGGUCCUGGCUCCAAACAGAAAAGAUGGCGCCGACCAUAAGCUGCAACUCAAGGUUACAAACCGAUACGCACCCAGAGAGAACCCCAGCAAACACGGGCAGAUCAUGAAAACACCACAAACAAAAAGCCCAUUCGGUUUGGGAAAAAAAGGACCUUUCUAUUCCAAGGCUUUUCAUGUACUGUAGUUGUUUCCAGGCUGGCCCAUCCAAUAUUGAGGAUCCAGUGUUUCAAACCAUAUGGCAGAGGAUAAAAGUUCUUCACAGGCUGCAUGACCUGACAUUUACUAUGUUAGGACCAAGGUAUGGAUCACCAGUAUUUCUGUUAAGGGAGUGAAGAUCGAUACCAAAAAUAAGUCUGUCUCAUGAUCACAUUGUGGGAAUAUGAACUGUCUUCUGCUUCUUUGCUGCUGUUGUGAGCAGCUGUGUGUUGAUAACACCUUUUGUUCAGAGUGUUCUCACAUUAAAUAG